rnacentral:lncRNA from 1 species
UCCUGAUCCAGGUUCCCUCGAAAUAUUUUUCUCUGAGUAUUUUCUGACUUCUGGGCAUAAACUCAAGAGAAGAUAUGACGUAAACCAGCACUACUCAGAGUAGGGUCUGUGGACCAGCAGCAGCCCCUGGAAGCUUGUGAGAAAUGGUAUUUCCCGGGGCCCCUUCAGAGAUCUACUGAUUCAGAAACUGUGGGCCUGGGAACCAGCUACCUGGCUUUGACAAUCUCCAGCCUUCCUAUCCAUGCCUAGCUCAGCAGCUUAUUUGCCAGAAGCCUGAAGAUUUCACUCCAAAGUCUCAGGAUGUGCCCAGGUUCUUACUGACUACGCUGCUGAAGGAGAGAUCCCAAGUGAGACCAGCAGAAGAACCGGCCAGCUGAGCACUGGUCAACACUCAGAACCACAGGAGAUAAUGAAAUGCUGGUCAUUUAUAAGUCACUUAUAAGUUAUGGGGGUCAGACUUAUAUUAAGGAAGUGGGAAUAUUACUCUUUUGGAAAGCAGAAAAGUAAUCCUUAACCAAAAUCUAGAAAGGCAUUUUGAAGCAGAUAUCCUAUUCUUUAUUAUCAUAAAAAAUGUUCAAUAAGCAAAAAACCUUAUGCCUAAAAAGUGUUCAUUGUUCCAUGAUUUUUAAAAAUUUACAAAUGAUAUAAAGGAGCAGUAAUGACAGCAAAACCCAAUGAUGUACUAAAUUAUGAUACAGGGGGUUAUUAACUUGCUUUUGGAGGUGAC